AUUGAACGCUGGCGGCAUGCCUUACACAUGCAAGUCGAACGGUAACAGGUCUUCGGAUGCUGACGAGUGGCGAACGGGUGAGUAAUACAUCGGAACGUGCCUAGUAGUGGGGGAUAACUACUCGAAAGAGUGGCUAAUACCGCAUGAGAUCUACGGAUGAAAGCAGGGGAUCGCAAGACCUUGUGCUACUAGAGCGGCCGAGGGAAGAUUAGGUAGUUGGUGGGAUAAAAGCUUACCAAGCCGACGAUCUGUAGCUGGUCUGAGAGGACGAGCAGCCACACUGGGACUGGGACACGGCCCAGACUCCUACGGGAGGCAGCAGUGGGGAAUUUUGUACAAUGGGCGAAAGCCUGAUCCAGCAAUGCCGCGUGCAGGAUGAAGGCCUUCGGGUUGUAAACUGCUUUUGUACGGAACGAAAAGCCCCGGGUUAAUACCCUGGGGUCAUGACGGUACCGUAAGAAUAAGCACCGGCUAACUACGUGCCAGCCGCCGCUGUAA
rnacentral:rRNA from 1 species